AAAGGGAGACCUAAUUCCGGUAGGAGACGAAAAAAAAGUAGUCCCUACCAAGAAUCAAUCCCAAAAGGUCGGAGCGAGGCGAAAUUGGCUUUCAAACUAGGUUCUGGGUUCACACAAGACCUGAAUCAGGAACAAGGGCUAUUAGCUCAGGUGGUUAGAGCGCACCCCUGAUAAGGGUGGGGUCCCUGGUUCGAGUCCAGGAUGGCCCACCUGCACAGGUGGCAAAAACAAGAGAAGCGAGGAAUCAGCACCUUAUCUUACUUAUAUAGUAAGAGAGAAUGCUGGCUCUGAGUAAAGAGUCCAGAGGAACCUUGAAAACUGCAUAGAGCUAGGUGAAAAAGCCAAAAAAGAAGACCGCAAG
rnacentral:tRNA from 1 species